rnacentral:rRNA from 1 species
GGUGGAGCAUGUGGUUUAAUUCGAAGCAACGCGAAGAACCUUACCAGGUCUUGACAUCCUCUGACAACUCUAGAGAUAGAGCGUUCCCCUUCGGGGGACAGAGUGACAGGUGGUGCAUGGUUGUCGUCAGCUCGUGUCGUGAGAUGUUGGGUUAAGUCCCGCAACGAGCGCAACCCUUGAUCUUAGUUGCCAGCAUUCAGUUGGGCACUCUAAGGUGACUGCCGGUGACAAACCGGAGGAAGGUGGGGAUGACGUCAAAUCAUCAUGCCCCUUAUGACCUGGGCUACACACGUGCUACAAUGGAUGGUACAAAGGGCUGCAAGACCGCGAGGUCAAGCCAAUCCCAUAAAACCAUUCUCAGUUCGGAUUGUAGGCUGCAACUCGCCUACAUGAAGCUGAAUCGCUGUAUC